rnacentral:rRNA from 1 species
UAGCCGUAAACGAUACUCGCUAGGUGUCGGCCACGGUGCGACCGUUGUCGGUGCCGUAGGGAAGCCGUGAAGCGAGCCACCUGGGAAGUACGGCCGCAAGGCUGAAACUUAAAGGAAUUGGCGGGGGAGCACCACAACGGGUGGAGCUUGUCGGUUUAAUUGGAUUCAACGCCGGAAAUCUUACCGGGACCGACAGCAACAUGAAGGCCAGGCUGAAGACUUUGCCGGAUUAGCUGAGAGGAGGUGCAUGGCGUAGUCGUGU